UUCGCAAUGCCCGAAAGGGUGACGAAGCGACGCCGCGUGUGGGAAGAAGGCCUUCGGGUUGUAAACCACUGUCGGGAGUUAAGAAAUGCAAGGAUAUUAAUAGUGUCUUUGUUUGACUAAGGCUCCGGAGGAAGCCACGGCUAACUCUGUGCCAGCAGCCGCGGUAAUACAGAGGCGGCAAGCGUUGUUCGGAAUUAUUGGGCGUAAAGAGCACGUAGGCGGCUAUGUAGGUCGGUUGUGAAAGCCUUCCGCUCAACGGAAGAACAGCAUCCGAUACUACAUGGCUUGAGUGCGGGAGGGGAGAGUGGAACUUCUGGUGGAGCGGUGAAAUGCGUAGAUAUCAGAAGGAACGCCGGCGGCGAAAGCGGCUCUCUGGCCCAUAACUGACGCUGAGUGUGCGAAAGCUAGGGGAGCAAACGGGAUUAGAUACCCCGGUAGUCCUAGCCGUAAACGAUGGGCACUAAGUAGAGGGGUUUU
rnacentral:rRNA from 1 species